UCUCCGUAGGUGAACCUGCGGAGGGAUCAUUACAGAGUUCUCGCCCUCGCGGGUAGAUCUCCCACCCACUGUUAUCGUUACUGUGUUGCUUUGGCGGGCCGCCGGGCCCCGCUCGGCCGCCGGCUCCGGCUGGAGCGCGCCCGCCAGAGGCCCAGCAAACUCUGAAUGUUAGUGUCGUCUGAGUACUAUAUAAUAGUUAAAACUUUCAACAACGGAUCUCUUGGUUCUG
rnacentral:misc_RNA from 1 species